rfam:Arabis alpina cultivar Pajares scaff_54690_1_contig_0, whole genome shotgun sequence.
GGGUGCGAUCAUACCGGUACUAAUGCACCGGAUCCCAUCAAAACUCGGCAGUUAAGCGUGCUUGGGCGAGAGUAGUACUAGGAUGGGUGACCUCCUGGGAAGUCCUCGUGUUGCACCCC